rnacentral:lncRNA from 1 species
UUUUUUUUAAAUAACUUAAAAAUGUUCAGUAGUGACACAAGGAAUAAAUAGUAAUAAAUACACAGUGAAUAACAAUAACGAGUAAAAAUAACAUGGUUAUAUACAGGAAGUACAAGUACCAGUUAAUAAAAUGGCUAUAAACAGGAAGUACCAGGUAAUAACAUGGUUAUAUACAGGACGUACCAGAUAAUAACAUGACUAUAUACAGGAAGUACCAGGUAAUAACAUGGUUAUAUACAGGAAGUACCAGAUAAUAACAUGGUUAUAUACAGGGAGUACCAGGUAAUAACAUGGCUAUAUACAGGAAGUACCAGGAAAUAACAUGGCUAUAUACAGGGAGUAUAAGUAGGGAUUUGAGGUAGCUAUGUACAUACAGGUAGGGGUAAAGUGACUAGGCAUCAGGAUAGAUAAUAGACUGUAGGCAGUAUACUGUAGGUAGGGGUAAAGGAUAGAUAAUAGACAGUAACAGCAGUAUACUGUAGGUAGGGGUAAAGGAUAGAUAAUAGACAGUAACAGCAGUAUACUGUAGGUAGGGGUAAAGGAUAGAUACUAGACAGUAGCAGCAGUAUACUGUAGGUAGGGGUAAAGGAUAGAUAAUAGACAGCAACAGCAGUAUACUGCAGGUAGGGUAAAGGAUAGAUAAUAGACAGUAACAGCAGUAUACUGCAGAUAGGGUAAAGGAUAGAUAAUAGACAGUAACAGCAGUAUACUGUUGUUACUGUCUUUUAUCAGUAUUAUCAGCAGUAUACUGAGUCCAGUCAGUGUGUUGGUAGAGUCCAGUCAGUGUGUGGGUAGAGUCCAGUCAGUGUGGGGGUAGAGUCCAGUCAGUGCGGGUAGAGUCCAGUCAGUGCGGGUAGAGUCCAGUCCGUGUGUGGGUAGAGUCCAGUCAGUGUGGGUAGAGUCCAGUCAGUGUGUGGGUAGAGUCCAGUCAGUGUGGGUAGAGUCCAGUCAGUGUGGGUAGAGUCCAGUCAGUGUGGGUAGAGUCCAGUGAGUGUGGGGGUAGAGUCCAGUCAGUGUGUGGGUAGAGUCCAGUCAGUGUGGGUAGAGUCCAGUCAGUGUGGGUAGAGUCCAGUCAGUGUGGGGGUAGAGUCCAGUCAGUGUGGGGGUAGAGUCCAGUCAGUGUGGGUAGAGUCCAGUCAGUGUGAGGGUAGAGUCCUGUCAGUGUGGGGGUAGAGUCCAGUCAGUGUGGGGGUAGAGUCCAGUCAGUGUGGGGGUAGAGUCCAGUCAGUGUGGGUAGAGUCCAGUCAGUGUGGGUAGAGUCCAGUCAGUGUGGGUAGAGUCCAGUCAGUGUGGGUACUACACAACACAACACACACUAAACAACACACAAUAUACACUACACAAUACACAACACACAACACACAACACACACUAUAGAAUAUACAACACACACUAUAGAAUAUACAACACACAAUACACACAUUGGUGGAGGUUUUCUGCCUGUAUUAGACUGUCUUCUAGGGCAGUCUGCGGUAGAGGGCUGUCUUCUAGGGCAGUCUGCGGUAGAGAGCUGUCUUCUAGGGCAGUCUGUGGUAGAGAGUUGUCUUCUAGGACAGUCUGUGGUAGAGAGUUGUCUUCUAGGGCAGUCUGCGAUAGAGAGCUGUCUUCUAGGGCAGUCUGCGGUAGAGAGUUGUCUUCUAGGGCAGUCUGCGAUAGAGAGCUGUCUUCUAGGGCAGUCUGUGAUAGAGAGCUGUCUUCUAG